AUGAUGCUUCCCUCUGUUGUUCUUCUGCUGUGUGACCUCCACGCACGCAGGGUUCAAGACUGUCAGAGCUGGGAGCCACCUUCACAACUACCAGGGUUUCCGGAACCUCCUUUAUCUAGCCCUGGGGAUGGAAGAGAUGUCAUCAGAGACUCAGUAGAGGAAGCUGAGACCGAGCAGCCGCAGGAACGAGAAAUACCUCCACCUUGCCUGGGCCUGGAGCCACAGGAGACCCUGCCGAAGGUGAAGAAUGUUCUGGAACAAUGCAAGACCUGCCCAGGCUGCCCCCAGGAGCCAGCGUCCUGGGGUCUCUGUGUAGCAUCCAGCAACGUGAGCUUGCAGGACCCCGAGGAGCCCUCCUUCUGCUUGGAAGCUGAGGACAACUGGGAGGAUCCAGAGGCCCAGAGAUCACUGCUGCUGUUCCUGAACACCUCUGGAUUCAAGGCCAGCUUCUGUGGCCUGUACAACGUGGCGCUGCCAUGGCUGAGCAGCAUGUUCAGCAGCUUUAGCGACGAGGAGGAGCUGACUGGGCGCCUGGCACAGGCCCCAGGGGCGGCCAAGAAAGGUGGCCUCCUCAUGGCCCUGGCCAGGUUCUGCUUCCUCCUGGGGCGGCUGUGCAGCAGGAGGCUCAAGCUGUCCCAGGCCCGGGUGUACUUGGAGGAAACACUGGGGGUCCUGGAGGGCAGCUUUGGGGACCUGUUCCUGGUGGUGGCUGUGUACGCCAACCUGGCCAGCAUUUACUGGAAGCAGAACCGGGAGAAGUGUACACAGGUGGUUCCCAAAGCCAUGGCCCUGCUCCUGGGGACGCCUGGCCACAUCUGCAGCACCGAGGCGGACGGGGAGCUCCUGCAGCUGGUGCUGCAGUGGGCGGUGGGUGGCCAGAGCCAGCAGGCCUAGGCCCGGGCCUGCUUCCUGCUGGCCAGGCACCACGUGCACCUCAAGCAGCCUGAGGAGGCCCUGCCCUUCCUAGAGCAGCUGUUGUUUUUGCACAGGGACUCGGGAGCCCCAGACGCUGCGUGGCUCUCAGACUGCUGCCUACUCCUGGCUGACAUCUACAGCCGCGAGUGCCUGCCCCACCUGGUGCUGACCUGUGUCAAGGUGGCCUCAUUGAGGACACAGGACUCGCUGGCUGGUUCGCUGAGGAACGUGAACCUGGUGCUCCAGAACGCCCUCCAGCCCCACAGCCUCCCCACCCAGACUUCCCACUAC
rnacentral:lncRNA from 10 species